UGGGGAAUAUUGCACAAUGGGCGCAAGCCUGAUGCAGCCAUGCCGCGUGUAUGAAGAAGGCCUUCGGGUUGUAAAGUACUUUCAGCGAGGAGGACGGCGUUGUGGUUAAUAACCGCAGCGAUUGACGUUACUCGCAGAAGAAGCACCGGCUAACUCCGUGCCAGCAGCCGCGGUAAUACGGAGGGUGCAAGCGUUAAUCGGAAUUACGGGGCGUAAAGCGCACGCAGGCGGUCUGUCAAGUCGGAUGUGAAAUCCCCGGGCUCAACCUGGGAACUGCAUCCGAAACUGGCAGGCUAGAGUCUUGUAGAGGGGGGUAGAAUUCCAGGUGUAGCGGUGAAAUGCGUAGAGAUCUGGAGGAAUACCGGUGGCGAAGGCGGCCCCCUGGACAAAGACUGACGCUCAGGUGCGAAAGCGUGGGGAGCAAACA
rnacentral:rRNA from 1 species